CUUUUGGGUACAAACAUGCACAGUCUUUAAAAGUAACUUAAUUCCAGGCACUUUAUUGUUGAGCUUCACCACAGAGACAGCAGCAAAUGAAAAAAACAAUAAUGUAACACAAAUCCCUAUAAACAAAAACCUAGCUCGUCUGAGCACUUACUAACUUCAGAUUCCCUAUCUCUCAGUAUCUAAUUGAGGUCUGAUUCCUUCUUUACUUAAAGAGACACUAUAGUCGCCAAAACAACUCCUAUUAAAUUAAGCAGUUUUUGUGUAUAAAUCAUACAUGCUCAAUUCACUUCUAUUUAGGAAUUAAAUUACGUACUUUUGUUUCUGUUUAUACAGCCCUAGCCACACCUCCCAUGGCUGUGACUGACACAGCCUGAAUGGAAAUUUUUUUAUUUCAUUUUCAAUCAGAUAUUAACUUACUUUAAAAGCACUGUGAACUGAACUUUAAUUAAAUACAGGAGGCUCCUGCAGGAUCUAGCAGGC